rnacentral:lncRNA from 1 species
GCCAGGAGUUCUGUUGAAAUAGAAGAGAUUUUAGAUUCCUCAGAGAUCAGGAAUGAAAGCAACCACACGCUUCUGGAUCUUGGAUUUAGUUAGCUAAACUCAGCAUAGCUUCCAUGAGCAACUUGAAUCCCACAUGGGAAGAGACCUCCCAAGAAGGACACCAACAGAGGAAAGCAGAGCCUGAGAAAGAAGACAACACAGAGAGGAGAGAAAGACUUAAGUUUAAUGAAAAGAUUCAACUCCUGAAUCCAAUCAUGGCUGGAGACAUAAUUUCCAUGGAGUUUUCAGUUUAUGAGCUAGUAAAUCCAUUUUAUUGCUAAGCCA